ACAACAGAGGCAGACAGAAAGUGGACUGAUGAGAUGUAAGUAGAAGUCAACGUUCCCUCCAGUCAUCAUGUUUCCUGUGCAAGGAAACUUGCUGUUGCCUUAGAGAUGGAGCAGGAAAACAUCUUGCAGCAGAGAAACAGAUGAAUGUGAGAGACUUUUCACCCGAUCCAGGCAACUUCAUGAGAAUCAGGAAGAGAUCCGGGCUUGAAGACAGAUAGAGGAAUCAACUGCAAUCAUACCUUCACCCCUCUAUCCAUCAUAACCAGUUAAGCACUGGACAAAACACAUCCAGACCACUUCACAUCAGUGCAGCCACAUGAAGAGGAGGAAAAAGAGAGAUUUCCACACACUGUACACACUCCUUGAGCAAAAGGGGGCCACAUUACAUAAAAUGUUUUACAGUUACACUCUUCAGCUUUGGUGGGGUUGAGUUUCAGGGCGGUGAACUUACUGGCCGCCCUGUUGGCAUGACAGGGAUUUUCCCUUUGCUCCUCUGCUCCUGGUGGCUCAAGGCAGAAGGUUUCUCACUGAUGGAGGUGUCUGUUUGCCAAGAAAGAAAGAAAUAUCAUGUUCUGGCUGAGCUUUGACACUUCAACACCAGCAUCACUCAAACAGCCCUGAGGUCUUGGUAUAGAGGUAGAACAAAAAGAGGGAAGUGUUGCAUGAGGGCUGAAGGCGGCAGACGAAUACAAGUAGGGGAGACUGGGGACGGUUGUGACAAGUCCUAUUUCUCUAACCAGAAACAUGCUAGUGAUGUAACUCAUACUGCACGUGGUCAUUUAGACCUUCCCUGGAA